rnacentral:lncRNA from 1 species
GAAGUAAUUCUUUCAUUUUGCUUGGGAAGCAAUAGGAGACUAACUUUGUGAGAUAUAGCAUACUCCAAUAAUUUUAGUAAGAUUACAACUGCAGGAUUGAUAAAGUUUUUAAUUUCUGGAUAUGAUCAUGGGCUAUACGGUGUGUUAUGGUUUCCAGGAAUGUACUUUUGUUGUUUGAGGAGGCUGUGGUAUAGGUGGUGUUUGGGUUUGUGCUUCAGUCAAAGACGUGCAUUUUGUUUCUAAGCAUGAAAAAGUUGACGGAUAAAAGAUGAUGUAAAUUGGUGUUUCUAAGCCAAGUUACUG